rnacentral:rRNA from 1 species
UCAGGCUAGUUAGCAUUAUACCGUGAACUGCGAAUGGCUCAUUAAAUCAGUUAUCGUUUAUUUGAUAAUACCUUACUACUUGGAUAACCGUGGUAAUUCUAGAGCUAAUACAUGCUAAAAAUCCCGACUUCGGAAGGGAUGUGUUUAUUAGAUAAAAAACCAAUGCCCUUCGGGGCUUCUUGGUGAUUCAUGAUAACUUUACGGAUCGCAUAGCCUUGCGCUGGCGACGGUUCAUUCAAAUUUCUGCCCUAUCAACUUUCGAUGGUAAGGUAUUGGCUUACCAUGGUUUCAACGGGUAACGGGGAAUUAGGGUUCGAUUCCGGAGAGGGAGCCUGAGAAACGGCUACCACAUCCAAGGAAGGCAGCAGGCGCGCAAAUUACCCAAUCCCGACACGGGGAGGUAGUGACAAUAAAUACUGAUACAGGGCUCUUUUGGGUCUUGUAAUUGGAAUGAGUACAAUUUAAACCUCUUAACGAGGAACAAUUGGAGGGCAAGUCUGGUGCCAGCAGCCGCGGUAAUUCCAGCUCCAAUAGCGUAUAUUAAAGUUGUUGCAGUUAAAAAGCUCGUAGUUGAAACUUGGGCCUGGCUGGCGGGUCCGCCUCACCGCGUGCACUCGUCCGGCCGGGCCUUCCUUCUGAAGAACCUCAUGCCCUUCACUGGGCGUGUUGGGGAAUCAGGACUUUUACUUUGAAAAAAUUAGAGUGUUCAAAGCAGGCCUUUGCUCGAAUACGUUAGCAUGGAAUAAUAAAAUAGGGCGUGCGUUUCUAUUUUGUUGGUUUCUAGAGACGCCGCAAUGAUUAACAGGAACAGUCGGGGGCAUCAGUAUUCAGUUGUCAGAGGUGAAAUUCUUGGAUUUACUGAAGACUAACUACUGCGAAAGCAUUUGCCAAGGAUGUUUUCAUUAAUCAGUGAACGAAAGUCAGGGGAUCGAAGACGAUCAGAUACCGUCGUAGUCUUGACCGUAAACUAUGCCGACUAGGGAUCGGGCGAUGUUCUUUUUCCGGACUCGC